GUUAAGAUGUGUUGUGAUUUACUUUCCUUUUGUUUUCUACCAGGCUUUCUACAUCUGUACACAACACCCAUGUAUCAUCAACUUACCUUCACCUUUCAAGAAUAUAAACAUAGCAAAGAGAAGAAAGGAAUUAGAUGAAACGGACUACAAAUGCAGAAGCCAGGAGCUGAACUGCUUUGUUCUACCAAAUGCUCCCCAGCCUCCCCAGGUCUGCAAAACAAAUAAACCAUGAUAUAUGGACUGAAACCUCUGAAAUAAUGAG